rnacentral:rRNA from 1 species
CCGGCGCACGGGUGAGUAACGCGUAUCCAACCUGCCCACCACUUGGGGAUAACCUUGCGAAAGUAAGACUAAUACCCAAUGAUAUCUCUAGAAGACAUCUGAAAGAGAUUAAAGAUUUAUCGGUGAUGGAUGGGGAUGCGUCUGAUUAGCUUGUUGGCGGGAUAACGGCCCACCAAGGCGACGAUCAGUAGGGGUUCUGAGAGGAAGGUCCCCCACAUUGGAACUGAGACACGGUCCAA